AACGCUGGCGGCGUGCCUAACACAUGCAAGUCGCACGAGAAAGUGGAGCAAUCCAUGAGUAUAGUGGCGCACGGGUGAGUAACACGUGAAUCAUCUACCUCCGAGUGGGGAAUAACCUAGAGAAAUCUGGGCUAAUACCGCAUAACACUUACGAGUCAAAGCAGCAAUGCGCUUGGAGAGGAGUUCGCGGCAGAUUAGUUAGUUGGCGGGGUAAUGGCCCACCAAGACGAUGAUCUGUAUCCGGCCUGAGAGGGCGCACGGACACACUGGAACUGAAACACGGUCCAGACUCCUACGGGAGGCAGCAGUGGGGAAUUUUGCGCAAUGGGGGAAACCCUGACGCAGCAACGCCGCGUGGAGGAUGAAAUCCCUUGGGAUGUAAACUCCUUUCGAUUGGGAAGAG
rnacentral:rRNA from 1 species